rnacentral:rRNA from 1 species
GGAAGUAAAAGUCGUAACAAGGUUUCCGUAGGUGAACCUGCGGAAGGAUCAUCAUUGAAUAAACCUGCACAGGCUGUUGCUGGCCUCUUGAGGUAUGUGCACGCUUGUCAUCUUUAUUUCUCCAACUGUGCACAUAAUUGUAGAUCUGGAGUUUUUGAAAAUUUUUCAUUUUCGAGUUGGGACUGCUGUGUCGUUUCUCAGUCUUUGCCCUUGCAUCUCCCAGGUCUAUGUCGUUUCACAAUCUCUAAUAAAAUUUGGAAUGUUGAAUCAAGGUCCUUUUUGUACCUUAUAAUAAACAUACAACUUUCAGCAACGGAUCUCUUGGCUCUCGCAUCGAUGAAGAACGCAGCGAAAUGCGAUAAGUAAUGUGAAUUGCAGAAUUCAGUGAAUCAUCGAAUCUUUGAACGCAUCUUGCGCUCCUUGGUAUUCCGAGGAGCAUGCCUGUUUGAGUGUCAUUAAAAGUUCUCAACCACACAUAAUGUAUAUGUGUGGCUUGGAUGUGGGGGGUGUUUUGUGGGCACCUGAGGUGUCUGCUCCCCUGAAAUGCAUUAGUGGUGUCUUGAGCAAUUACUACAGAUGUGAUAAUUAUCUACAUCCCCUAAAGUAUGCUGCAAACACUGCUUCUAAAUAAAAGCAACAUUUGAUGAAUUGACCUCAAAUCA